rnacentral:rRNA from 1 species
CCUACGGGUGGCUGCAGUGAGGAAUAUUGGUCAAUGGACGAGAGUCUGAACCAGCCAAGUAGCGUGAAGGAUGACUGCCCUAUGGGUUGUAAACUUCUUUUAUAUGGGAAUAAAACAGGGUAUGCAUACCCUCUUGUAUGUACCAUAUGAAUAAGGAUCGGCUAACUCCGUGCCAGCAGCCGCGGUAAUACGGAGGAUCCGAGCGUUAUCCGGAGUGACUGGGUGUAAAGAGUUGCGUAGGUGGCAUAAUAAGUAGCUAGUGAAAUCUGGUGGCUCAACCAUUCAGACUAUUAGCUAAACUGUUAAGCUCGAGACCGUUAGGGGUAACUGGAAUUUCUGGUGUAGGAGUGAAAUCCGUAGAUAUUGGGAGGAAC